rnacentral:rRNA from 1 species
UACGUAGGGGCCGAGCGUUAAUCGGAAUUACUGGGCGUAAAGCGUGCGCAGGCGGUUCGUCGUGUCGGCGGUGAAAGCCCCGGGCUUAACCUGGGAAUGGCCGUUGAAACUGGCGAACUGGAGUGUGGCAGAGGGGGGUGGAAUUCCGCGUGUAGCAGUGAAAUGCGUAGAGAUGCGGAGGAACACCGAUGGCGAAGGCAGCCCCCUGGGCUAACACUGACGCUCAGGCACGAAAGCGUGGGGAGCAAACAGG